ensembl:lncRNA
AGGUCCUGGAGAAUGGCAUCCUACCUUAAGAAAUCCCAGAAAGAAAUAAACAGCAGUGUAGUUCCACUGUUAUCACUGCCUCCAUCGAGCUGCGCAGAGAUCCUACAGUGCCCACCCAACCACUGUGCUCGUGGAGCAGCUCAGCUGGAACCAAGGCCUGCACCUUUGGGAGACUCAUGCCAAUUGGUAAUUGACAUGAUGAGAUACGUCACAGCUUCUUUGUGAAAUCAAAGUGGUGCCAGUGGAUUGUUGGUGCUGGUGAGGACCAGGGUGCCCUCCAGAGUCCAUUUUCUUCCUCAUUGGUACCCGGAGCUAAAAGUAGGGCUGCUGGAAGCUGCUGUCCUUCCUUAUGUGUCCAGCCAUCAGUUCAGACUGCGACCUACAUUCUCUGAAGUUAUUUAUAAUGCUGCUAAUACCUCUGAAGCACAGUAUUAGCAUGCCUCUUUAAAGAGAAUUCUGUAAGAUUUAGCAUUAAUACAGAGUUUUUUUCUUUCUUUAAUGGUCCCUUACUGUGCCCAGCAAAGCUCUCUCCAAUGGCCACGGGCAACCUUGGGAAGCUUUAGCAAUGCCUUAAUUCCUCCUUGUUUUGCUCUGGAGCUGCUUCCAUGCAACUCUGGUGCCUGGGUGCCCACGAUGCGUGUCCCCCUCUGCAUCCAGCAGAUGAAUCCUGGCACAAGCCCUCCUCUGCUGCAGCACCCACAUCAGGAUGAGCUGUUCCUCAACUCCAAACUCUGCACAGUCCCCAAAUCCUAUCCCAGAGGAGGCAGGGAGGGAGGUAUCAGCUCCACCACAGCUGAUUUCCCUGUGCGGAGGCAAUUCUAUGAGUUCGUGUGGAACUGUCAUACCAUGGCAACCUUAUACCAAUAACUACCAGCAAAAGGAUAUUUGAAACAAAUGGAAAUCUGUCCAGCUAUUUAAGCUCAGGAAAAGUUCAGAUAUUACUAAGAACAUUAUACAAUACUUUAUUUCAUCUAAGGGUUAGUUUUCUAGAAAACGCAGGCAGACAAGCCAGGGAGAAAGUCCUGUGCUUUAGCUGGGAGUUAGAUGAGGUGACCUAAUAGGUCUUUUCUAUUUCUCACCCUUAAGCUGCAGACUAUUUUUUCCAAUGCUGGUGAUCAGUGGGGUGUAUCUUUGUGUGCUGAACAGAGACCAGCUAUGUAGCCUCUUUUUCCUUGCCCUGACAUGUACUUUGUCUUUGUAUGAAAAACAGACUUUAAAAAUUCAUGGUUAAUAAGGGACCUUGGAUUACUUAUACACAGUCUAAUCAAGUUGUGUAAGUACAAAACGCAUGCUUAGACACAGUCUCUCCUAAGCAAGGGCAUGACUUGCCACUUUUAAUGCACACUAUCUUUGGCUGUUGAGCCUCUGAGUCUUGACUUGUGUUUAAUCUUUCAAUUAAAUUCCCUUCAGACG